UGAGGAAUAUUGGUCAAUGGGCGCAAGCCUGAACCAGCCAUGCCGCGUGCAGGAUGAAGCAUCUAUGGUGUGUAAACUGCUUUUGUACGGGAAGAAACCACCCCUCGUGAGGGGUAUUGACGGUACCGUAAGAAUAAGGAUCGGCUAACUCCGUGCCAGCAGCCGCGGUAAUACGGAGGAUCCAAGCGUUAUCCGGAAUCAUUGGGUUUAAAGGGUCCGUAGGCGGGUCUGUAAGUCAGUGGUGAAAUCUCCCCGCUCAACGGGGAAACUGCCAUUGAUACUGCAGGUCUUGAAUUAUUGGGAAGUAACUAGAAUAUGUAGUGUAGCGGUGAAAUGCUUAGAGAUUACAUGGAAUACCGAUUGCGAAGGCAGCUCACAAAACUGUAACUGACACUGAGGCUCGAAAGUGCGGGGAUCAAACA
rnacentral:rRNA from 1 species